GUAGCAUCCUCCCCACAUAUGCAAGCCCACAAGUAGAAUACCCACGAACACAACAACCACUCCCACCACAUACAGCAUCCAAAUGCAUACAUAGACAGCAUCCCAAAACAAAAACCCAUUUCCAGCAUUAUCCCUCUUUUGGCCUCUUGUGUUUCACUUAUAGGGACACUAGAGACAAGUUACCAGAAAACAAAGAUCAGGCAAGUCAUUAAAUGAGAACAUUAUGCAAUGAUAAAGUGGCAACCUGAAACAUCUAUUCAUUUUAGGUCCUCCAAUAAACACUUGCAGAACCUUUUUAUUGUACUUUUGCAUCUGAUAGUGCUGCCCUUGUUUUUGUACUUUAUUCCAACAAAUCUAGAGCAAACAUAUCAUUAAAUUUACGUGUACUGUGCUACACAGAUCAUUUUGCCCAUAUGAGCUAAGUUCUGCAUGUGAGAUGCCCUGGAGGGCACCAAACUGACAUGCCCUGUUUGGGGGUGGGUGCAUGCCUCUUGUUAAUGGCACUCCCCUCUUUGACCCUGGUCCCUUCUGUUGGACCUUUAAAAGCCAGGUUAAAUUUUUGUCUCAGUUUAGCCCUGGACUUACAUAUACACUCUGAAACAUGAAAUGACCUCAGAUGUUAACUUCAAUGUUUUGUCAUUUUCCUCAAAUUUAAAACUGGUUACUUUUGAGGUGAAUGAUCUGGGAGUCUCUUAUCCUUAUUCCCACAUGUGGCAUGCAGCCACAGGUAAGAAAUUAAAGUGCAG